rnacentral:lncRNA from 10 species
AAAUAUAUUAAAUUACGUAAGCAUAUAUGCUGAAUAAGUUUUAGCCAUAAGCAGUAGAUUAUAUUGAAUUCCCAUAUCAACAAAUGUAUAUAAAAAGGGAAGUGUUUGGUUACAUGAGAUAUGCAAUUCGCAGCACAAUAAGGAAAGGUUUCUGUUGAAAAAGAAUGGCAGAAGCAAUUUGGCUAAGAGAAGAAAAUAACUAUUAUAAUUGUGAAAGAUGAUGUUCCAUUUCUUAAACUGGGUAAAAGGCAUGUAAGUGUUGGCUGCAUUGUGAAGUCUUUAUAUUUUACACAUUUUUAUAAAUACUUUGUCAUAUGUGGUCAAUAUCUUAUAAAACAAUGUUUAAGUGUGAGAAAAAUCUGAACAAACAUUUGUUGACAUUAGAGGUAAAAUGUACAUAGGCAUCUAAUCCAUUUGUGCUAAUUAUGGUAGUUUUUAAUAUAAAUGAAAAAGAGGUCAUAAAAAUAUGAGUAGGAAGAAAAAUAUUGUAAUUUAUCCUUAAUUUCCCUACAGAAAAUAAGCAGUAAAGGUUUACUGGUGCUCUUAAAAAGGCUGUGUGUGUGUGUAUGAAUGUGUAUUUAUAUACACACACACACACACACACUAUAUUAAACUACUUGAAAUUAACUUUUUACCUCUGAAGUUCCCUUCAAACCAACCACCAUCACAAAUAUUUCCUUAACCACAUAAAAAGUACUAAUACUCCUCUACGCAUAAUCCCAGAAAUAAGUUAAAAAACAAAUUCCUAAAGAGAAAUGUUCACACUGCAAAUAACUGUAUCUUUUGUAUAUAUGCAGACUUAACAUCUAUGUGAGUUGUCCAGGUUUAUCCACAUCUAUUGUACUUGCUUUAUGAUGGGCACAUGCAUUUUAAUUAUGCCUUGCCAAUACUACCUUGAGUGAGAGGGCAAUAUAGCAUAUUGAUGAGGAGCACAGGUUCUGGAGCUAGCAUUCCUAAAUGGAAACUUAGCUCUUCUACUUCUCAGCUAUAUAGUAUUGGGCAAGUUAUUUAACCUCUCUGUGUUUCAGAUUCUCAUCUGUAAAACAGAAAUAACAACACAUACCUCAUAGGGUGUUGGAACUGAUUAAAACAACGUACAACGGGACUGGCAAAGAAUAGGUGCUACAUAAAUGUGAGCUGUUACUACUAGUACAGCUGGCCCUUGAACAACAUGGGCUUAAACUGUGCUGGUCUACUCCUAUGCAGAUUUUUUUCAAGCAAUACAGUAUUCAUGGGAUGCAAAAACCGAGUAUAUUGAGGGCCGACUUUUCCCUAUACAUGGUUCCAUACACCAACUGCGGGAUUUGAGCAUGCAAGGAUUUUGGCAUAUGUGGGGGUCCUGGAACCAAUCCCCUGCAUACAAUAAGGGAAGAAUGUAGUAGUAAUUGUAUUGCACCCUCUUCCUGAAAGUACCAAAAACAUUCUUAAGCAAUCUGAAUUCCUAACAUCAAAUGCUACCUAUAUUUAAAAUAGACACCAAAUCUGAGGCCUGAUUAACAGUAAGUUUAAAGCCCUUCAACUCUGAAGAAAAUAGGUGAUUCACAGAUCUACAUAAUACUCUAUCAAGAACAAUCUGAGAGGACUGGUUCCCCGAGCGCAACUAUCAAUUUCUUCCCUUACACAAGGGGGCAGUGAUAACAAGAAAAGAAUCGGGCUCUGUAACACCUCUUCCUACAGACAGUAGGGGGUGGCAGUACAUAUGGCUUACAGUCAGAACAAAACAGGAAGACCCAACAGAAUUCUCUUUAUUCUCCUCUGGCCCUUUCCUCUGUUCUUCAGCCCCAACAGCUUCUCAAGAUAUUUUCACCUGUGUAAAAAUCAGGAAAAGGGCACAUACGAAAAAUACUUCCCUUUGCCUAAUGAUCUUUAACUCAUAAUUAUGGUCAAGACGUUUGGGGUUUUGUUUGUUUCUUUUCCUGGAGAGGAGCAGAGAAGAGAGUGAAAGACACCCGAAACACCAAAUCUUCUUCCUAAUGUUAAUUAUCAUUGUUUAUGUUUUGUGAAGACCAUUCUAAACAUUCCACACCUGGAAAUGAAGACUGGAUACAAUUGUACCAAUGCUCUACACGCUGAUGGCAAAACCUGGAAUUAUUUUAGCCCUAUUUUUUCUUUCCAAUCUCACAGCCAGACACAAUUUGCUUUUUUUCUUUCACGUGGUUACUUUCUCUACCUCAAAAAAAAUAGCUUAUCAUAGCUCCUCCCGAUUUCCUAUGGCAAAAUAUCUAGCAAUGAGCCUUAUUAAUCUUUUAUUAUGCUACACCUCCUUUCCCAGAGGAAUUAUUAAUAUCGCUAAUAACACUUCGACCAUGAAUUUCAACGCCACAGAGGCCAGCCCAUCCUGUGCCUUACCUGGCACAUUUCGCAACUACUUUUAUGCUGCAUUCUGGGGGCACAUUUUGCAACUCGUUCUGCACCACAUUCCCUGCCACGUUUAGCAAUCCGCCUCGCAUCUUAUCCUUGGUCCCCGUCAUCCAGAGACGCUCUAGGUACCAAAUUCCAUGACAUCUUCGGUGACAGCCAAGUGGCGACCCCACACGCCUCUGAAGCCCGCCUUGGUGUCAUAUUCGGAGCCAGCCUUCCCCACGCCUUGGACACCGAGGCACUUCGCUGCCCAUUUCGCCGUCUCCCCGCUCGCCCCCGCCCCUCUCCCCGGAGCCGAGGCUGUGGAGGCGAACGACCCUGUCACUGAAGCGACCUUUCCUCGCCCUGCUCCCCGGGCCCCUUACCUGCCGCUCUGAGGGGCUCUCUGCACCUCCGGGUCAAGCCCCAGUCCCCGGGGUCUCCUGUGAGGACCGCGCCGCCCGCCGGCGCCGCCCGCGAUUCCCGGAGCACCUCGCAGUCCUCCAACGCCCCGCGGCGAGUCUGCACCCCGGAACGGCGCGGCGGGGCCUCGCAGCCGGCGAGCGCAGCCCGCGGCGGUGCUCCUGUCAGCGGCGGCUCGGGGGCCAGCUCUCGCCCCUCGGCUCGGCUCGGCGGCGGCGGGCGCCUCGCUCCGCCUAGCGCGCGGCACAGCCGGGAGGUGAGCGCGAGGGGGAUGGGAAUGGGGGCGGGGCCGCCCGAAGGAGGCGCGGAGGGCGGUGGCGGCGGGAGGGCAGCGCCAGCGGCCCUAGGCCGGGCGCUCGGAGCGCUCGCAGCUUCCCCCGCCGGGCGGGCGGCUCGCGCGAGGCGGCUGUGCCAGCGGGCCCCGCCGGAGCAGCGCGCCCAGCAACCCGCGCCCCGCCGGCCGCUCGCUAGCGCCGCCGCCG